UCAUCUAUAAUAUUUCUCUUACAUAUUCUAUUGUACUUACCUUCUGUAAAAAUUGACUAAAAUCAGACCUCUACAUCUAAAGACAGAGUGGCACUGAAAAUCUGAAUCUCCCCUUACUUCUUGAGUUUCUUUCUGAUGAUCACAGCACACAGUCCAAUAUUACAAAGACUGCAGCAGGACAGAAUUCAGGUGAGGACGUAUUUUAGCCCCUUGGCAAAACCACAGAAUGAGGACAAAAACAAGCUAACUUCCUAUUGCAUUCUGACAGAGAACAUAAAUAGGUGGAACUGACCAAAGUCCCAAAAUACACUCAGUCACCUGCAAAACCGUACCGCCUCCUCCCAUUUGGAAACAGUUUGCAUGCACUCUGCUGAUUUCUAUGUCUGCAUCUGCAGACUGUGUACAACCACAGGGAACAGCAGCUCAGGAAUCAAGCUCUCUAGGAAUCCAAACUGUGCACCUCUCUGGAAAGGGUUCACAGGCUGCAAGGUACCUGCUGGAAGCACAGCAAACAGGGAUGGUCGUCUGAGCCCAAGGGACGAACUAUUAACACUAAAUGGACAAUCACUUAAAGAUCUGUCUGGCAAAGAGGCUGAAACUCUCAUUCAAUCAUCAACACGGCUGGUGAACAUAGUGAUGGCUAGCAAAGAAAUGUCAACCUGUAAGGAAAGACCUUUGGAAAUACAAAACGGUUGUUUUCUGCACAGUAAAGCCACAUGUCAACGGACUCGCAGUAACUCAACCAGUAAGUUGCAAAGAAGUAAUCUUUCUUCUUGUAAUAUUCGGGGAGCAAACAGCACAGCACUUCAUCAUGUGAUGGUACUGCAGUGUUGAAAGAAAUUGCAGCUGUUGUCCAGACGUAGGCUGGCAUCCUCAGCUCUGAACUGCUGACCAAAAAUCAUCAGCGUUUAUAUUCACAGUAUCCUACAAUCUAGGGUGUUGUGCAGAAACUUUUUUUUUUUUUUUAAGGUAUAUUCUAAAUAAACCGAUGCUCUUUUGGUAGGGAAUGUUUGCU
rnacentral:lncRNA from 1 species